UACGUAGGGUGCGAGCGUUAAUCGGAAUUACUGGGCGUAAAGCGUGCGUAGACGGUUAUGUAAGUUAGGUGUGAAAGCCCCGGGCUCAACCUGGGAAUUGCAUUUAAGACUGCAUAGCUAGGGUGCGGAAGAGGGAAGCGGAAUUUCCGGUGUAGCGGUGAAAUGCGUAGAUAUCGGAAGGAACAUCAGUGGCGAAAGCGGCUUCCUGGUCCAGCACCGACGUCAGGCACGAAAGCGUGGGGAGCAAACAGG
rnacentral:rRNA from 1 species